AAUCCAUGCAUUAGACAUCUUCGAAUUAAGUUUUUAAAUCAUACCCAAGCUUUAUAUAGUGUUUCAUCGUCUGAUUGACAAAAAGAUGUGAUGUCAUUUCUAAGCUU
rfam:Gossypium hirsutum cultivar TM-1 chromosome 15, whole genome shotgun sequence